UGGGGGAUAUUGCACAAUGGGCGAAAGCCUGAUGCAGCGACGCCGCGUGGGGGAUGAAGGCUUUCGGGUUGUAAACCUCUUUCGCUAUCGAACAAGGCCCGCUUAGGGUGGGUUGAGGGUAGGUGGAGAAGAAGCGCCGGCUAACUACGUGCCAGCAGCCGCGGUAAUACGUAGGGCGCGAGCGUUGUCCGGAAUUAUUGGGCGUAAAGGGCUUGUAGGCGGCUUGUUGCGCCUGCUGUGAAAACGCGGGGCUUAACUUCGCGCGUGCAGUGGGUACGGGCAGGCUUGAGUGUGGUAGGGGUGACUGGAAUUCCAGGUGUAGCUGUGGAAUGCGCAGAUAUCUGGAGGAGCACCGAUGGCGAAGGCAGGUGACUGGGCCAUUACUGACGCUGAGGAGCGAGAGCAUGGGUAGCGAACAGG
rnacentral:rRNA from 1 species